CCCCCUGUUCCCAUCGCUUCCCAUCGCUUCCCAUCGGAAGCGCAGAUGGUGCCGAAGCUCCAUCAGGGCUGCGAGCAGUGCAAGGCUGGAGACCCUCAGACCAAAGCUUUAUAAUAGCACCCAGGCACUUCACUCCCGCUGUACUCAACGAGGGUCCGACACUCGAACAGCUUCGUGGGUCUGGGUGUAAGAAGGUGCAAGAUCAAGGGAAGUAGGCUAACGUGGGUUUUGGAGCUUUUCAUUCGGCAACUACAUCUUAUGGCGUAUUUUCAUAAAGCACGUUCAGUUUGUCCCUCUGGUAACGCAAGCUGCUGUAUUUUUGGUGGUUUUUUAUAUUCCCAUUUAGAUGGGAAAUACUGGAUUGUUUAGCAUGAGGAUAACACUUUAAAUGAACAUCUUUUCACUUUAGUAGUCGAUGUUUAUUUUUAAGCUGGAAAAGAGCAGAUGGGCAGCUAUCAACAAGCACAGGACAGUGGCAAGAACAGCUGGACAAUGCGUUAGCUCAUCUCUAUUUAAAAGUAUCUAAUUAGGACUUCAAUAUCAGAAGUCACUUAAAAAUGGAAAACAAGUUCUGACUACAAACAUGAAACAAAUUUCCCUCUGUUCAUCACUGGUGAAGUUCAGCAACCAGCUUUACUUAUGGACUUUUCAGUCUAUUUAGAAUAUUUAUACUGACAGUUUCCAAAGAAAAGAAGAAACAGGAUAUGGGAACAACACAGACUUUGGAUGUAGCAUCUACUGAAAAAUUCAUUAGCCUUCUUCAGGAAAUUGCUUGUGGUUUAAAACAGAGACCUCUGAUGUACCAGCAAAUACAUCUCCCAGGGGCCAGAAUCUGCAUUUCACACACAAAACCCACUUUGGCUAGCUCAGGUGUCUGCCUAAGCACCAGUGUGUAAAUCAAGGCAAAGAUGCAGAGGAUGGAGAAACAUGCUCCUGGAGCUGUGGCACAUGAAAGAGCACAUCUUCAGAACACAGCACAAGCUCUGCAAACCACGAUAACAUGUGACAGAAACUAUUUGAACAACCAAGAAAAAACAGCUAUUUACCUGAAUGAAAAUUUAUUGAAGGUUAGAUGCUGCUGCGCCCACCACCUCAGCUCACCCCCGAGUCCUCGGCAUGUCUGGCACGCAAAGGCUGGCCUCAGGUUUCUUGAAAGGCUUGUGAUUUUCUGCCCUGAGUUGCCAUCCAAAUGUGAAGCAUCCAGCUUUCCUGCACAACAGCACAGACCCUGGAAAGUCCCAGCUCCUGCUGUGUCACCCAGGCUUUGAAAGGAUCACAACAGGCCUAGGGCAGCUGGGGAGUCACAUGGUCCUUCAUUCCCACAUGGUUUAAUCAGCAAGUCCCAACAAGGUGGAUGUUAUCUUCCAAAAGCAUGGAGAGGACCUCGGAGCUAUGCGUAGCCCAAAGAACCACUUCAGAAGAUAAAACCCCAAGAGAAAUAAGAGACAAAACACACUUCAGUCAAAAACAGUAGUUUUACCUGUUUAGACUGUGGCAUACACUGCAGCAUAACCCUGGCAUCAGGCUAAACAGAAGCAGCCAAGGUCUCCAGGUGCCUGGAAUUAUACAAGUGCUUAAGAAUGUAAUUGAGAAAAGCACAUAAGGAACACAAGUGGUGUCAG